UACGUAGGGGCCUAGCGUUGUCCGGAUUUAUUGGGCGUAAAGCGUCCGCAGGUGGCUGUGUAAGUCUGCUGUUAAAGAGUCUAGCUCAACUAGAUACAAGCAGUGGAAACUACACGGCUAGAGUACGUUCGGGGCAGAGGGAAUUCCUGGUGUAGCGGUGAAAUGCGUAGAGAUCAGGAAGAACACCGGUGGCGAAGGCGCUCUGCUAGGCCGUAACUGACACUGAGGGACGAAAGCUAGGGGAGCGAAUGGG
rnacentral:rRNA from 1 species